rnacentral:tRNA from 1 species
ACCUGGGUGGCUCAGUCGGUUAAGUGUCUGACUUCAGCUCAGGUCAUGGUCUCAUGGUUCGUGGGUUCGAGCCCCGCAUCAGGCC